AGAUCAUGAUGUGGACAUCUCCUCAAGAUGUCCUUCAGCCUCUCCAUGUCUCAAAAAAUGACUUGGUAUUUAUUUGAAUGAAUAAAGAGAUUUCUUAUCUAAGCUU